rnacentral:lncRNA from 1 species
AAAAAUGGUUCUAAAUAAAUAAUUCCACGUAUCUUACUUCAAAAGAUAAAGAUUUAUGUUUUAGUAAAAAAAAAAAAAAGAGCAACUGCAUCAUUUUGGAAAGUCUUUUUUGGUUAAUUAAUUAUUCAGACACAUCUACUAUGACUCCGAAUACAUCUACAUAAGACCAAAAGUAAUUUAUUUUGGUUAAGGCCUUUAACUUUAAACUAGGGCCGGGCUGGGCUUUUGUAUUUUUUUUCUUUAUGCAUUUCAAUAGAAAGCCUUUUUUCAAAAAAAAAAAAAAAAAAAGAUUAAAUGGAUAGAAGUGAGAGUAAUAAUAAUAUACCGUAACAAAGUCAUCUAUACUAUUAUAAACGAUUUGUAUAGAUCUUUGUAAAUAAGUACGUAAAAUAUCGAUGGUUUAAAAAAAAUUAUGCUAUCGUUUAGCUAAUUACUCUAUGCCUGUAUAUUAAAAUUAUAGUCUAGUCAACAUAAUAAAUGCCAUCAUAUCCUACUAUAUAUGUAAUAUCAGUCAAAGAUUGACCAAAAUUUUUAUGGAAAUAAAAUUAAAUCCAUACAUUUUUAUUUUGCUAGUCAAGCAAACUCAAUAUUAUGAGAAACUAAAUAUAGGAAGGGAUCAUAUAUCUCUAUAUAUAUUGUGCAGGUAUUGAAAAUUAUUCAAUCAUAUUUCAUUCACACCCACAAGAAAAGAAAAGAGAAAAAGAAGAAGAAAAGAAACACUAUACAAAAAUGGCUUCAUCAUGCAAAAGUUUCUUGAUUCUGUUCUUGUGUGUGACGGUUAUCUUACACCCAAGUAUGUUACUUAUAAAUCUAGCUUUUUCAAUUUAAAGAUACAUGAUAUGCUCAUAUUUUAUAAUCUUAAAUUUUUUAUUUUUUUUAGGUAUUACAGAAACUGUGGAAGCUGACGAUUCACAAAGACAUGGUUUUUUCGUUAUUGGUUCUUGCUCAAAAAUUCAUGACUGUAAUAAAAAAUGCAUUGAAAUGCAUUUCCCAAGCGGAAGAUGUCUUAAAGAGACCCCCCACGCCACUGAGUUAUCAUGUGGUUGCUAUGUAUAAUUAACAACGCUAUCAAAAUAUUGGAUUGUGAAAAUGUUAAAGUCUUUUCAAAUAAUAAUAAUGAUGUUAUUAAUUUUUUUUCUGGGAUAAAACAAUGAUUUUUUUUUUACACAUAAAGCGAUCAAAUAUUGUCACAAUGUAAUAGAGAAACCAAAUUGGUUGGAAUGUAAGAAUAAUAGACAACAUAAUUGUUUUCUGGAAUUGAAGUUUAUGCCAAAAUAUAUGAGAUCUUCACAUUUGUUGCCUUCUCUUGAAAUCCAACUGAAUCUGAGAUUUUCCAAUCUUGAGCACCACAUCUUCAUUUCUCCUAUCCAGUUUAAAACAAUGAUUUUAAUCAUUUUAUCUUGAAGUACAGUAAAACCUCUAUAAAUUAAUAAUGUUGGAACAACGAUAUUUUAUUAAUUUAUAGUGAAAUUAAUUUAUCUAAUGUAAACUAAUAAUUAUUAAUUUAUAGUGGUAUUUUUAAUUUUCAAAUAUUUUAAAAAUAUGAAUUGACACAAUUUUACAAAAAUAAGACUAAUCUUUUAGAUAUUAUAAAUUAGAUAGUAGUUUGAAAAUGAAUAUUAUAUUUUUUUUAAAAGAGAUUUGACUAAAAACAUCUAAAUUAUUGAUAAAUUCACUUACAAAUGAUAUACAUAAAUUCAAAUGUAUCUUAAUAACCUCAAUUGUUAUAUUUUCACAUCUUAUAUGUAAAAUGAAUAUGAUGUAAAUUUAAAAAUUGAAAACGUAAGUCUAAUUUGAUUAUUUUUAUGGCUUGUGAUGGUAUAUAUUACAAAAUUAUUUUUUAAAAAUAUACUAACAUAAAAUUAUUUAUUGAGGUGAACUCUAGGAGAAAUUUUAUGAGAAAUUGAUAUCAAUAACCUUUUUAUGAUACCCUCUUUUAAAAAUACCCUCUUUUUUACCAUUUUUAUUUUUGCCCUCUCUUAAUUUUUAAUGGCUAUUUUACCCCUAUUUGAAAGAAUAUUCUUUCCCAACGGAAGGAAUAUUCCUUCAAAAAAUUUUCCCCCCAAAAAUUUCCCGCAAAAAAAAAUUAUUUUUUCAAAAUUUUCCCGCCAAAUUUUUUUAAAGGUAUAAAUCUUUGUAAUAUGUAAUAUAGUUUAUGUGAAUUUCUACAAUAUUUGAGAAGAAAAAAAUGGUUAUAAAUAAAUAAUUCCCCGUAUCUUACUUCAAAAGAUAAAGAUUUAUGUUUUAGUAAAAAAAAAAAAAAAGAGCAACUGCAUCCUUUUGGAAAGUCUUUUUUGGUUAAUUAAUUAUUCAGACACAUCCACUAUGACUCCGAAUACAUCUACAUAAGACCAAAAGUAAUUUAUUUUGGUUAAGGCCUUUAACUUUAAACUAGGGCCGGGC